GACGAACGCUGGCGGCGUGCUUAACACAUGCAAGUCGAACGGAAAGGCCCUGCUUUUGUUGGGUGCUCGUGUGGCGAACGGGUGAGUAACACGUGAGUAACCUGCCCUUGACUUUGGGAUAACUUCAGGAAACUGGGGCUCAUACCGGAUAGGAGCUCCUGCUGCAUGGUGGGGGUUGGAAAGUUUCGGCGGUUGGGGAUGGACUCGCGGCUUAUCCGCUUGUUGGUGGGGUAGUGGCUUACCAAGGCUUUGACGGGUAGCCGGCCUGAGAGGGUGACCGGCCACAUGGGUACUGAGAGACGGCCCAGAAGGCUACGGGAGGCAGCAGGGGAGAACAUGACACAAUGAGCGGAAGCCUGAUGCAGCAACGCCGCGUGCGGGAUGACGGCCUUCUGGUUGUAAACCGCUGUCGCCGGUGACGAAGCGUGAGUGACGGUAAUGGGUAAAGAAGCACCGGCUAACUACGUG
rnacentral:rRNA from 1 species